rnacentral:rRNA from 1 species
CCUACGGGGAGCAGCAGUGGGGGAUAUUGCACAAUGGGGGGAACCCUGAUGCAGCGCCGCCGCGUGGGUGAAGAAGCGCCUCGGCGCGUAAAGCCCUGUCAGCAGGGAAGAAAAUGACGGUCACUGACGAAGAAGCCCCGGCUAACUACGUGCCAGCAGCCGCGGUAAUACGUAGGGGGAAAGGGUUAUCCGGAUUUACUGGGUGUAAAGGGGGCGCAGACGGCGAUGCAAGCCAGGAGUGAAAGCCCGGGGCCCAACCCCGGGACUGCUCUUGGAACUGCGUGGCUGGAGUGCAGGAGGGGCAGGCGGAAUUCCUGGUGUAGCGGUGAAAUGCGUAGAUAUCAGGAGGAACACCGGUGGCGAAGGCGGCCUGCUGGACUGCAACUGACGUUGAGGCCCGAAAGCGUGGGGAGCAAACAGGAUUAGAUACCCCUGUAGUC